rnacentral:rRNA from 1 species
CCUACGGGCGGCAGCAGUGGGGAAUAUUGGACAAUGGGCGAAAGCCUGAUCCAGCCAUGCCGCGUGUGUGAAGAAGGCCUUCGGGUUGUAAAGCACUUUCAGUGGGGAAGAAAGCCUUGGGGCUAAUACCCUCGAGGAAGGACAUCACCCACAGAAGAAGCACCGGCUAACUCCGUGCCAGCAGCCGCGGUAAUACGGAGGGUGCGAGCGUUAAUCGGAAUUACUGGGCGUAAAGCGCGCGUAGGCGGUCUGAUAAGCCGGUUGUGAAAGCCCCGGGCUCAACCUGGGAACGGCAUCCGGAACUGUCAGGCUAGAGUGCAGGAGAGGAAGGUAGAAUUCCCGGUGUAGCGGUGAAAUGCGUAGAGAUCGGGAGGAAUACCAGUGGCGAAGGCGGCCUUCUGGACUGACACUGACGCUGAGGUGCGAAGGCGUGGGUAGCAAACAGGAUUAGAUACCCGAGUAGUC